ACAGCAAAAAAACAGAGCUGGACUUGACAAGAGCCAACACUCCUCAAUGUUUUAAAAUAAUUUAAAAUAAGUGGAAAAGUUUGACGGACGUAAGCUGGCAGCACAGACUUCUUGUGUCCGGAGUCAGCAGGUCAGUAGAGCAAAUUAAAAACCGCUGGGAAGCAACGAGCGCUUUCUACAAGGAGAAGCUAAACGAGCAGAAGCGGCGCGGCUCCAACCAGCUUCACUUAAUAUGAAUUAAUGGAUAAUAAUCGGAGGACGACCCUCUCCAAGGAGCACACUGGAGUAGAAGUCGGUUUUCCACCGGAGGAAAGUUAACCCGAGACACCGGAAAGUCUGGAGAUGAUGAUGCUGAUGAUGAUGAUGAUGAUGUAAACAGCACAUCGGAGGAGAUUGAUGACAGCAGCUCAACACAACCUGAAGACCACACAGAGGAGGCUCCAGACAAAAAGAUCUAAAGCCAUCAUCUGGUGAUGCCACGCUCCUGGGUGAUCGAUCAGCCCAGCAGAGAUCUUUCCUGGACAACAUGCAACAGCAGCAUGAGAGGAAUCUGGAAAGAGAAGACAGGCUUCUUUCCAGGUUUAUGGAAGAAAGUUCCCGCUCAACUGAAAGCAUCAUAGGGUAACGGUUUGAUGGUCUACUCAUCAGCUCCACAUUUACAUGAACAAAGUUAGUCUGGGACCUCGCUGAGAUAAGCAUGUAACAGCCCGAAAACGACCACUCGUCCCAAGCGUUACUUCAAAUACAGCUGGAUUUUCUAAACUGCAGCAGCUGUAGGUUUUCCCAGGUACUCGGUAUGCUCAGAAUGACCAGUACAUGUUUAGAAGGGUCAUAGAAGAGUGUAAAAUUUCUCAUUUUUAUAUUUUAAGAAAAAAAGUUAGGUCAAACGACCUACAUAUAGUCUGGAAUCGCCACAUAUUUAGUAUCUUAAACUUUCUAUUGUGGAUGUUCCUUGAUAAUCUUUAAAACAUUUAAGACCUCUAGAUACUGCUGUUUGCCAAAGACACAAGGUUUGUUUUGUAUUUUCCACUUUAAAUGCAUAUUCCAUUGAUAACAGGACUGAAAAUAAAAAUUUCAUAUUUGGAAAAUGUUCAUUUUCUUUGGAUGUGUGGUAAUACGUUGAUCCACUUAUUUUAGCCAUUUUCUCUUAAAAUGUCAAAAUAGAAAUUUUACAGUUUUCUUUGGCCCUCCCAAAGAUGUACUGGUCAUUUUCAACAUGUUCAACACCCUGGAAAAUCUCUAGCU